rnacentral:rRNA from 1 species
AUGUCCACCGCCGCGCCCUUCCGCCUCCUCCUCCCGCUCCACCCACCACUAACUCCCAGACGCCAUUCCGCUCCCGUUCUCCCCUCUGUCCCACGCCGCGGCACCGUCCCCAGCCCCCGCCUCCGCCUCCGUCUCCGUAUCGCAGCCGGGGGCGGCGAUGCGCCUCCGCCCGCAGCCGACGAACUCGACUGCGUGGGCACGGGCAGCGACGUCGAGUGCGUCGUCGACGGCGACCCUGGGGCGGAGGAGGGGGUCGCCCCGGCGCUCGCGGGGAGGGAGUGGUGGGAGUGGGUGUCGCUGGUGUCGCCCUUCUUCUUCUGGGGCACGGCCAUGGUGGCCAUGAAGGGGGUCAUACCCAAGACCGGGCCCUUCUUCGUCGCCGCGCUCCGCCUGCUCCCCGCGGGCGCGCUCGUCGUCUCCUUCGCGGCCGCGCGGGGCAGGAAGCAGCCCUCCGGGUGGGCCGCCUGGGGCGCCAUCGCCGCCUUCGGUCUCAUCGACGCCGCCUGCUUCCAGGGCUUUCUCACCGAGGGCUUGCAGAAGACAUCGGCUGGCCUCGGAAGCGUCAUAAUUGACUCCCAACCAUUGACGGUUGCUAUCCUUGCAGCACUAUUCUUCGGAGAGUCUAUCGGGGCGAUAGGAGCUGGGGGGCUCGUACUGGGUGUUGUUGGGCUUUUGCUCCUCGAGGUUCCAGCACUGUCAGUUGAAGGAAACAACACAUCAGUCUGGGGGAGUGGAGAAUGGUGGAUGUUCCUCUCGGCCCAAAGCAUGGCGGUCGGAACUAUCAUGGUUCGCUGGGUAUCAAAGUAUUCUGAUCCAAUCAUGGCAACAGGAUGGCACAUGGUACUAGGUGGGAUUCCUUUGUUGGUUAUAUCUGUUCUUAAUCACGAUCCUGCUCUUAAUGGACACAUUCAAGAACUUACAUGGAGUGACAUAGCAGCUCUGGGUUAUACAUCUAUAUUCGGCAGUGCUGUCAGCUAUGGUGUCUACUUCUACAAUGCUACAAGAGGUAGUUUGACCACGCUUAGUUCUCUUACUUUCUUGACUCCUAUGUUCGCCUCCAUUUUUGGGUUCCUCUAUCUGGGAGAGACCUUCGCACCUGAGCAGAUCGGUGGUGCACUUCUGACAUUGGUUGCCAUCUAUAUGGUUAAUUACAAGAGCAUUAUAGGCGAGAAGUAA